rnacentral:rRNA from 1 species
UACGGGGGGGGCAAGCGUUGUUGCGGAAUUACUGGGCGUAAAGGGCGCGUAGGCGGCCUGCUAAGUCGGAUGUGAAAUCCCUCGGCUCAACCGAGGAACUGCAUCCGAUACUGGCGGGCUUGAAUCCGGGAGAGGGAUGUGGAAUUCCAGGUGUAGCGGUGAAAUGCGUAGAUAUCUGGAGGAACACCGGUGGCGAAGGCGGCAUCCUGGACCGGUAUUGACGCUGAGGCGCGAAAGCUAGGGGAGCAAACGGGG